rnacentral:lncRNA from 1 species
AAUUAGAAAACAAAAUGAAGGGAGGAAAUUCUCAGACGAAGUUGAAGGAACCUCCUAUACAAAGGCAAGUAUACAAACUCGAAUGAUGGUCUAAAUGCUCUCGUAGAGAUCACUACAUAUUUUGAACACUCGAGAAUCGCACUUUGACUAUGCCGCUCAAUGACUUUAUGAUUAACUUUUCAGGGGCAGGUGAAACAAGAGCAAAUUAUGGACAUUGUUCGAGAGGUAUGUGAUGAACAUAAUUUUGAAAUAAUAAUAAUAAUAAUAAUAAUAAUAAUAAUAAUAAUAAUAAUAAUAAUAAUAAUAACAACAGCCCCAUGCAAUAAAAUUAAAGCAUGUGACGAGAAGGAUGAUGUAUGAUUUUAAAUCUAAGAAACCAUAAAAAAUAUCUACUAUUGGCCAAUAUUGUAUUCUUCCUGUAGAUUCAAAAUAAAUACAUAUAUUGGCUAGAGAAUGAAGCAAGAAAUUUCAAGUACGUAACGAAGUUCUCGAGAAGAUUGGCUGGAGGUGGAAAUAGGAGAAGCAAUAAAAGUCCACCGAGUGAAAUCAAUAUUCAGCUGCUUUGGUGUUAAUUUUUGCUGAAGUGGGAAUUAUCAUACCCACCGUAUUGUUUGAGGUACUACGCGCUCUGAUAUAUUUUUAGACAUUCCUAGGACAUUCUUUUAACAACCUUCAUUACUUAGUGAUCUGAGUUGUGUUCAAGUGUAUUCUUUUAACAACCUUCAUUACUUAAUGAUCUGAGUUGUGUUCAAGUGUUUUGUUAACUUCUUUCAGGUUACAUAUAAAUUUCGAUCAACUUACAGUGCGUUGGUUGUUGCAACGUAAUUUAGUAUAUUAAUAUGAAGUUCUUUUGUCGUAUUUAUUUAUCAUGCGUGACAACUCAUUAGAUUCGAUAAUAUGUUAGUAUUUGUUAUCAAUUAAAAAAAGAUUAGGAAAUAUUGUUAGUUCACAUAAUAUCUUUGAAUAAUUGAGAUGAACAAAGAACUGUCAAAGAAAAGAUAAAUGCCUCAAUUCCAUUUGAUAUGUCCUUGGUUCUUUACCUCAGUUUUCAUGGCAUUUGAUAUUUCCUUAGCCUCAAUUUUCAUGGCAUUGCAGAUUUCGCAGGUUUCUCGAAUUUAUAAUUAUGUUUUUCUCCUUUACACGUCCAGUUUUGUCUUGCUAUUUUCUUUUAAUUUUUGAUACUCUUGUUGCUUCUUCCCAGUCAGUGAGGUUAUCAUUUUUCCUUCAUGUAGGUUCUUAAGAAGGAAUUUAUUCUGUUAAUGUAAGAAAUGCUAACAACUAAGGUGGUCAAACAUCAAAAUAUUUUCGGUUUAUUUUUUUAUGAUGUCAUAGUAUUCUUCAAAGAACAAUUCUGCUUUAAGGGUGUUUAAACUGUUUCUUUGCUUCAGUAUGUAAUUGGUGGAGCACCUACCUUCAGACAUACGGUUUAUUACUGAAUUUAUUGUUGGAGAUUGUCUUUCUAGAAACCUAUCUUAUGGGAAGGCAAAAGGAGCUUGGAGGCAGAGAUGACAAUAGCCAAUGAAGCUACUAACAGGUAGGUUUAUAGUGUCUUAAUGGAUGAUAUAAAUUAAAUAUUUCAAAUCAAUUCCCUUGAUAUAUAUUCGGGAUAAAUUAUCUUCAUGAACAAAUUAGACCAUGUGUAAUCCAUUGUGAAAUAAAGAGAGAGAGCAACAAGGGUGUUGUUAGUACUUCAUUAUUUAUAGUUCACUCUUUUGUCUCUUUCCAUGUAAGUUAAAGUGUUGAGAUUAUUGUAUUAUUUGCUAUUUUAGUUCUAUCUGUAGAGAGAUUUGGGAGAAUUAAUUUUCUCGUAUUGUUCACAAAAGUAUAUAUAGAGUACAGAGAG